CAACAAAACGGAACCAACCUAAUUAGCAUGCGGAAACGGACUAUAUUAAAUUGCUGAAAUAUUGAACAUAUCUUCGACCUUUCAUAAAAGGCAUAGCGAAAAGUAGAAAAGUUAUCCAACCAACCGCAACAAACGCCAAUCUUUCUCGGUUAAAUCUACAGAAGCAACCAACUUAAAGAUACACAUUCACUUACUCUAUUCUGAGUGCUCGAGCAAAAUGCUUAUAAACAAGGUUGUUCUCUUCCAAAUAUGCAGUUAUUUACUGUUAGUUGAGCUGACAUACGGAAAAAAUCAGAUGUUUAAGCGGAAUAAAUUAAGGACUCGAGGACGAUCUGGCUCAAGUGUUAAUAGAUGCAAGCAUUUCAAGAAUCUAUUCAAGCCAAAACUUAGCAUAUUAGCAGAAGCACCUAAUACUUCUCCGUGUAAAUUAAAAAAAAUCAAGAAACAAAACUGUACGCAUCCCGUACUGGAUGGAAGCUACAAAGAAUCAGUAUACCCGACACGUGCAGGAUAUCCAGAAUAUGAAAGACCCGCUCCGGAUGCAGCAGGUAUACAGUCAGUUCAAAUACCGACUUUAAACCUAUUAUGGGAGCUAAUUCUUCAAACAUAUGGUUCUACUGUGCCGCCAAGGAACAUUUCUUCUUCAUUUAUUCAGUCAGUUCAACUUCCUAACGUGAAUGAUACUUUCUCCUCGUCCACCGAACCAUUUACUAAACCAGAAACAGAGGCAAAUUCCUUGGAGUCAUCACCUUUAAAUCAUCUGCCGUCGAAUAAUAAGCAGGAUUCCGCAUCAGGUAGUCAAAUAGUUGCAACACAGACUUUAAAUCCAUUAUGGGAGCUGAUUCUUCUUGCCUCUGUUUCUUCUACUGAGCCGCCAAAGAACAUUUCUUCAUCAUUUAUUCACUCAGUUCAACUUCCUAAUGUGAAUGAUAAUUUCUCCUCGUCAACCGAACCAGUUACUAAAUCAGAAACAGAGGCAAGUUCCUUCGAGCCAAAUCCGUCAUCACCUUUAAAUUCCGCAUCAGGUAGUCAAAUAGUUGCAACACAGACUUUAAAUCCACUAUGGGAUCUGAUUCUUCAAAGAAAUGAUUCUACUGAGCCGUCCAAGAACAUUUCUUCAUCAUUUAUUCAAUCAGUUCAACUUCCUAACGUGAAUGAUACUUUAUCGCCGUCAACCGAACCACUUACUAAAUCAGAAACAGAGACAGGUUCCUUGGAGUCUAUUUCGCCUUUAAUUCUUCCUCCAUCCGAUAAUAAUCAGGAUUCCGCAUCAGGUAGUCAAAUAGUUGCAACACAGACGUUAAAUCCACUAUGGGAUCUGAUUCUUCAAAGAAAUGAUUCUACUGAGCCGUCCAAGAACAUUUCUUCAUCAUUUAUUCAAUCAGUUCAACUUCCUAACGUAAAUGAUACGUCCUCGCCGACAAACGAACCACUUACUAAAUCAGAAACAGAGACAGGUUCCUUGCAGUCAUCCUUGUCAUCAUCUUUAAAUAUUCUUCCAUCGAAUAAUACGCAGGAUUCCGCAACGGGUAGUCAAACAGUUCAGACUUCCCAAUUAGGCCAACAGCUUCCUGAUAGGAAUGGUCAAACUGAUUUAAAGGAGUCUUCUUCAAUUGCUCAAUCCAUUCGAAUUCCUGAUUUAAGCACCCCGCUUUCUCAAUUAACUAAAAACGCAAGUUCCUUGGACUCUGGUUCUGCUUCAUCAUCAGCAAUUAUCCAUUCUGUCAAAUUUCCAGUUAUUUCUAAACCCUCAAACUUUGGUCUUGCACCUAAAAAUGAAACAGAGACAAGUUCCUUGCAGUCUACCUCGUCAUCACAUUCAAUUCUUUUUCCACCGAAUAAUAAGCAGGAUUCCGCAACGGGUAGUCAAACAGUUCAGACUUCCCAUUUAUUCCAACAGCUUCCUGAUAGGAAUGCUCACACUGAUUCAUCGAAGUCUUCUUCAAUUGCUCAAUCCAUUCGAAUUCCUGAUUUAAGCACCCCGCUUUCUCAAUUAAACAAAAACGCAAGUUCCUUGGACUCUGCUUCUAUUUCAUCCCCAGCAUCAUCAAUUAACUACUCUGUGAAAUUUCCAGCUAUUUCUAAUUCCGCAAAGUUUGGUCCUGCACCUAAUGAUGAGUCCACUGCAACUCCAAAAAACCAAGAAUCCAAAUGGCAACCUCAAACAUCUAAUAUCUUGAAGUAUGCUUCGUCAAUAGUUCAAUCACUUCAAAUUCCUAUUGGCAAGGAGCGUUUAUCGCGAUCAUCGCCAACAGUUCUUCCGUCAGUUCAAGACAGUAGUUUACCGGAAAUCACAGCUCGUUCUCCAUUAGUCGAUAAGCCUGAUGAAUUGAGCGCUUCUCUUCUUUCUGACCCUAGUGAAAUGUCCGCUGAACAUCUUCAAGAUUACGUGGAACCUUAAUUAAACAAUAUAUUAUAUAUUAUCCCAAGUCCCGUAUUUAAUCAAAAUAUAAACUAUGAUUUCUUGAUCACAAUAUCCCAAGCAUCUCUUACACAAACAAUAAUAUUGUAUUAAAAUCAUUUUUUGUCGAUAUUGAAAGCUGUCGGAAUUACCAUAAAACAUCUAAUAGGGAAAUACUAGUAAUAGCUAAUCCAUUUAAUACCGAUUUAUGAUUGUGCAACAAUAAAAUUCUAUAUAUGCUUAAUA